UCGGUUGCCACUGGCGACUGUUGGAGCUGGUUUGCUUGCCGUGUUGGCGAGCCGCCACAAGUGUUUUAUUGCUCCCUGAUUCUUAACCGUGCAGUUGCAAGCUGGAGCAGUCUUUCCCUUUCAUCAACUCCAAGGGCAGAUUUUACUCCUCUUUGCCCCUUUUAGACAGAAACUGUGCAUCUUAUACUUAAGUGCUGCAGGUACCAAUCUCAGCUGGACUUCAGACAAGAAUUCUCCAUCAUCUGUUCUGCAUUAUUGUCUGAAGAUCAGGAGCAGCCGCCACCAGCAUCCCUUUGUAAUUUACUUCAGUCACGUAAGGACUCAAGCUGUACUCCCACCGUGUCCGAAUGGAUACAAUUAUCAGAGUAUUAGUGGCUGUGUUGGCCAGGGGUCAGCAACCUUUACCACUGAAAGAGCCACUUGGACCCGUUUCCCACAGAAAAGAAAACACUGGGAGCCGCAAAACCCGUUUGACAUUUAAAAUGAAAUAACACUGCAUACAACGUUUUGUUUUGCCUUUAUGCUAUGUAUAAACAAACUACAAUGUGUUGCAUUUAUGAAAUUGAUGAACUCCUGCAGAGAAAACGAAAUUACAUUUCUGCAUGCAACAAAAACAUUUUGAACUCCGAAAAAAAGAGGUUGGGUUGAAGGUUACUUUUAAGUAAAAUACUCAAUGUCUAUUUGAGUUCUUCUUGUAUUUAUGAAAAACGCCAAACUUAAAUUUGCCGCCAGCAGCAAACCAAAAAUAACGUCAGCCAGCUGUCAACCUGAAAAAUAAAAGGUCUAUUUCACUGAACAAUGAAAACAUAUGAAUAUACGUAAAAUAAUAGGCAAUUAAAAUAUUUAUCAUACUUGGUCAGGUUGACUCACACCUGACAAUGCAGUCGUAUUCAGUAGGGAUGGAUCGAUGCUUAGGGGAGUGACCGGGAAGGAUAAUGUGUUUUUUUCCUCUCUGAACUCACAGAAGCGUUUCCCAAACGAUGUUUGCAUUGCGAUGAUUGCAGAAUGUAAAUACUCCGAAUUUAUCAUGUCGUGACCUUGUUUGAACUCUCUCAAAUUGGGGAAGUGAGACAAUGUGCCUUUCUGUAAAUCUCUGGCAAGCAACGUCAACUUGCGCUCGAAUGCCAAAACAUCCUCCAACAUGUGCAGGGCUGUACGUCCUUACCCCGUUGAAGAGCUGUGUUCAGCGUGUUCAGGUGCGCUGUCAUGUCUACCAUGAAGUGUAGCUUUUCCAGCCACUCUGGCUGUUCCAGCUCAGGAAAGUUGAGCCCUUUGCUGCCCAGGAAAGUUUUCACUUCUUCCAGACACGCGACAAAGCGUUUCAGCACCUCCCCUCUGGACAGCCAGCGAUAAAAACACGUUGUAGCGGUGUGCUACACGCAGUCAGUAAACUGCAGUCAAAGAUAGCUUUAUUCGAACUAAACAGCCUUGCUUUUAAGCCUCCCUCAACCCGCCCCCCAUGGGCGCGGAUGCUGCAAAAGACACGUACUCACAAACCCCCGUAGGCUAUCUCCCUUAGCCUGAACGCUGGCUAAUUGUGAGCCGGUUCGGAUGUGUCAGGAAAUGGGUCGCCACAACGUCUUAUUUAGAUUGUACAAGAUCACCAUAAUCUUCAAAUUUAGAUUUACAUUUCAAAAACUAACAAACUAACAUAAAAUACAUUUUAAUUAAAUACUGACCAUGUAGCGGUGUGCUACACGCAGCGCUAAAAUUACGACACGGAGUCGGUAACCGCCGUCGAAGGAAAAAACUUUAUUCGAAAUCUUCAGCCUCACUUUUAAGCCUCCCUCAACCUGCCCCCCCCAUGGCGCAGAGGCUCCAAAGCUCUGUGCUCGCAAACCCCCGUAGGCUAUCUAAUUGUGAGCCGGUUUGGAUGUGCCAGGAAAAGGGUCGCCACAACCAAUUAUUUCCCAAAGCAACAGGGAGCCGCAGCAUAGACGUAAAAGAGCCACAUGUGGCUCCGGAGCCGCGGGUUGCCGACCCCCGCUCUAGGCUGAUAUUCCCACCCAGCUUUGUGUUAUCUGUAAACUAGAGAAAGUACUAUUAACUCCUUCAUUCAAAUCAUUAAUUUAUGGUAAGUAACUAGGGUUCCAACAAUGAUCCCUGUGGUACUUAACCCUGUGACUGCGACCUAGAGGAAACCAUGCUUAUUUCUGUUUCUUGUGGGCCAAAUA